AUGGCGAACGACGAGAAGACCAAGCAGCUGGCGGAGUACUCCGGUGCGGCUAAAGUAAUUGCUGCUCCGGCGAGUUCGUCGUAUCCACGGUUUGAUCGCGAGAACUUCGGGGUCUGGAAGGCCCUCAUGGAGUGUGGUCUCUGCGCCAACGAGCUAUGGGACGCGGUGGAUCCCGGUGGCGACGCGUUCAAGAAGGAGGGAGCCGAGCACCGGAAGGAUCGACAGGCGGCGUCGGCGAUUUACUCGGUGAUGCCAAUGGAUGUCCUCCAGCACCUCAUCGCCAAAGCAACGGCGAAGGAGGUGUGGGAUACCUUGAAGCUCAUGUUCGAGGGACACACCCGUGUCAAGCAAGCCAAUCUCCAAACUCUCCUAAGGAACUACGAGACUUUGGUCAUGGGCGAUGAUGAGUCUGUGGAUGCGUUCGCUUCACGGGUGGCUACUCUCGUCAAUCGGAUUCGCGCGCUUGGAGAGAACCUCACGGAGGCCUCGGUUGUCCGGCGGUUCUUACGCGCGGCCCCUUCCCGGUACCUGCAAAUUGUCACGGCGAUCGAGCAGUGCAUCGAUCUCGCGACUCUCUCCAUCGACGAUCUCGUCGGACGGUAUAAGGCUCACGAUGAGCGUAUGCGGUACAGUCUUGGGGACGGAAGGAACGACGAGCUUGUGAUGCUCACGAAGGCACAGUGGAUCGCCCUAGAAAAGAGAGGCGGGUCCAUGAGCAGCAGCAAGAAGAAGGGGAAGCAGCGUUCGGUGAGAAAGAACUUCGCCAACUCCGACAACGACUCAGACGACGACUCAGACGAUGAGGCUGCACCACCACCGAGGAGAAAGUUUGACAUCAGGAAAGUGAGGUGUUAUAACUGUGGUCUCCUCGGCCACUUCAAGGCUGACUGCGAGGAAGCACCGAAGCAGAAGGCGCUCAUUGUCCAGCAAGAAGAUGAUGGUGACAUGAUGUUGAUAUGUAAACUGGUGGACGAGGAGGAUCCAGACUCUCAAGCGUUGACUAAAGAAAUUGUCGAACUUUCAGAAGAAAAAGUUUGCCAUCAUGAUCGUGGUUCGGAAACCUGUGUCGAAGCUACAGAUGCGGGGAGUGAUUUUGAAACUUAUGUCAGUGCUAUGAACGUAAGUGCCAACUUUGCUGGAGCGGAAGCAGCGAUUGUCGCGUGCGCUCGGCCAUGGAGAAGCAGCCUUUGUGUGCUGCAUCCUAAAAGAACAAAGACGUCUGUGAUGUUGGAAGUCCACGAGAAGAGAAGCACCAGCGUCGUGUCGCGAUGUAGACCAAAUGCGCUGGCAAGCUGUGUACCCCGCGCGGGUGCAGCGGGCGCUGCGUGCGAUCGGCCCGGAGGUGUAGUGCCAGCUGCACAUGCAAGCAAGGAGUGCCCUGGUGCUGGAGGCGCACCAGGCAUGUACACGACGGCAAACAGCGCCAUAAAAAGCACAGGCGUCACGUCAGAGGAUGGCAAAGUGGGGCAAAAAGGUCCCGCUGUCAUUGUGGAUGGUCCAGGCUUUCGUCGGAGAACCUACGUGCGACCGGCGGUCCAGUCUGCUGCGUCACGCGAGCCAAGGAGCAGCAUGCAACGCGCUGACCGCUAUAGCAGGAGCCUACUAGCAAGCAAGCAGGAGUGCUCUCAUACUAGAAGCCUACCAAGUAGUGCACAAGGCAGCAGCAGCAACGUCUCAGCAUGCAAAGCAAAAGAUAUAGGCACAUGUGACGCAUCAGAAGAGGAGCCGGACCAGGAGACAGGCCAAUCCGCGGGUGGUAAUGGGCAAGGCACAUUGCCUGGUGGCCUGCAUGGGGUUUGGUCUGGUGGCCUAUGUGUGGACGUGAGCUCAGCUACAACUGCGGUGCUGCCGACCAGUCUAGGAGGGACAUCGACAGCGCAUGUGGAGGAAAGGACACCACCUACACCCGAACAUCUACAGCCGGAGUUACACCCAUAUCCGGAGAAAUUUCUUCGGAUGAUUAACCCGGUAAUGGUGAACGGGAGUGGGCGACGGUGUCUAGCAAGCGCCGAGGAACCGGCGGAAUUUGUGGACACAAAUACGAAGGAGUGUUGGCGUCAUGCUAUGAAAGAAGAGUUGGGGUCGAUCCAUGACAAUAAUUCAUGGGAGCUUGUGGAUCUUCCCAACAAUGAAAAGGCUAUGGAGCUCAAGUGGGAAUUCAAGGUCAAGAAAGAUGUUGAAGGGUGCAUGAAGCACAAAGCGAGGCUACUAACCAAAGAGUAUGUGCAAGAGGAAGGUGUGGACUUUGAAGAAGUGUUCAUUCCCAUUGGAAAGAUGGAGUCGGUGAGAUUACUCAUCACUCUCGCGGCUCAGGACUCAUGGAAGGUACAUCACAUGGAUGUAAACUCCGCGGUUUUGAAUGGCGAGAUAGAAGGAGAUGCGUAUGUGAAUCAACCAUCAGAUUUCAUCAAAGAGGGAGAAGAGCACAAGGUACUGAAGUCACACAAAAUCUUGUAUGGGCUAUGGCAAGGACCUCGGGAGUGGAACAUCAAACUUGGUCGGACAUUGAUUUCUCUUGGAUUUGAGAAAGCCCCACUAGAGCAUGCAAUGUACAAGCAAGGUGAAGGAAGGGAUCGUCUACUAGUUGGCAUCUAUGUCGACGACCUAUUAAUUACCGGAGCAGAUGAAGAGUUGAUUGCAAAGUUCAAGCUACAGAUGGAAGAGCUUUUCAAGAUGGAUGAUCUUGGUCUUUUGAGCUACUACUCCGGGAUAGAGGUACAUCAAAAGACGGUGGGGAUCACACUAUGCCGGGAGGCAUACGCAAGGAAGGUACUUGAAAGUCGUGGCAUGAAAUAUUGCAAUCUAAUUGAAGCUUCAAUGAAACCUCGUCUUGAACUGAGCAAGAAGAGUAAAGCACCCGCAGUUGAUGCAAUAGAGUAUAUUGCAGCUGCCACUGCGGCGUGUGAAGGUGUGUGGCUAGGGCGGCUACACGGUGAUCUCAUGGAUCGAGAUCCGGAACAAGUGGUGCUUAAUGUUGAUAGCAAGUCUGAAAGUUUUAUACGCGAAGAUCCGGUGCGGCAUGAUUGA
rnacentral:rRNA from 1 species